GUUAUCCGGAAUCACUGGGCGUAAAGCGUCUGUAGGUGGUUUAGUAAGUCAACUGUUAAAUCUUGAAGCUCAACUUCAAAAUCGCAGUCGAAACUAUUAGACUAGAGUAUAGUAGGGGUAAAGGGAAUUUCCAGUGGAGCGGUGAAAUGCGUAGAGAUUGGAAAGAACACCGAUGGCGAAGGCACUUUACUGGGCUAUUACUGACACUCAGAGACGAAAGCUAGGGUAGCAAAUGGGAUUAGAUACCCCAGUAGUCCUAGCUGUAAACAAUGGAUACUAGAUGUUGGGCAGAUCGACCUGUUCAGUAUUAAAGCUAACGCGUUAAGUAUCCCGCCUGGGAAGUAUGCGUGCAAGCGUGAAACUCAAAGGAAUUGACGGGGGCCCGCACAAGCGGUGGAGCAUGUGGUUUAAUUCGAUGCAACGCGAAGAACCUUACCAGGGUUUGACAUGAUACGAAUUUUCUUGAAAGAGAAAAGUGCCGUUUGGAACGUAUACACAGGUGGUGCAUGGCUGUCGUCAGCUCGCGUCGUGAGAUGUUGGGUUAAGUCCCGCAACGAGCGCAACCCUUAUUUUUAGUUGCCUUUUAUGGAACUCUAGAAAGACUGCUGGUUAUAAACCGGAGGAAGGCGGGGAUGACGUCAAGUCAGCAUGCCCCUUACACCCUGGGCUACACACGUGCUACAUUGGGCGAGACAAUGAGAUGCAAACCUGCGAAGGCUAGCUAAUCUAAAAACUCGUUCUAAGUUCG
rnacentral:rRNA from 1 species